rnacentral:rRNA from 1 species
GAUGAACGCUAGCGGCAGGCCUAAUACAUGCAAGCUGAACGGUAAAUAUUGUAGCAAUACAAUAUGAGAGUAGCGUAAGGGUGCGUAACACGUAUGCAAUCUGCCCUGUACAGGAGGAUAGCUCGGCGAAAGCCGGAUUAAUACUCCGUAAGAUAUUGGUGGGGCAUCUCACAGAUAUUAAAGUCUUCGGAUGGUACAGGAUGAGCAUGCGUCUGAUUAGCUAGUUGGUAGUGUAACGGACUACCAAGGCGAUGAUCAGUAGGGGAACUGAGAGGUUGAUCCCCCACACUGGCACUGAGAAACGGGCCAGACUCCUACGGGAGGCAGCAGUAGGGAAUAUUGGUCAAUGGAUGCAAGUCUGAACCAGCCAUGCCGCGUGCAGGAAGAAGGCCUUCUGGGUUGUAAACUGCUUUUGCCGGGGGAUAAAAUUCCCAUGCGUGGGACAUUGAAGGUACCCGGUGAAUAAGCCACGGCUAACUACGUGC